AAUAUUGUACAAUGGGGUCAACCCUUAUCCAGCCAUGCCGCGUGUUUGAAGAAGGUCUUCGGAUUGUAAAGCACGUUAAGUUGGGAGGAAGGGCUUUAGGUUAAUACCCUGAAGUUUUGACGUUACCAACAUAAUAAGCACCGGCUAACUCAGUGCCAGCAGCCGCGGUAUUACAGAGGGUGCAAGCGUUAAUCGGAAUUACUGGGCGUAAAGCGCGCGUAGGUGGUUCAGUAAGAUGGGUGUGAAAUCCCCGGGGUUAACCUGGGAACUGCUUUCAUAACUGCUGAGCUAGAGUACGGUAGAGGGUAGUGGAAUUUCCUGUGUAGCGGUGAAAUGCGUAGAUAUAGGAAGGAACAACAGUGGCGAAGGCGACUACCUGGACUGAUACUGACACUGAGGUGCGAAAGAGUGGGGAGCAAAC
rnacentral:rRNA from 1 species